CACAGACACUAAUUUUAAGCCUUAAAAGGUUUCUUGUGUUUCCAUUGAAUUAUAAUUUAAUGGAUUGUCUUGGCCCUUGUGGAGCUGGGCAACUUGUUUAGGAAUCCAACUGUGUUGAACCCAGCUUUAUUGUUGGAUUGCAUUGAGCUAGUGUGAGGCCAUGAGCCAAAAUGCCAGCUAAGGUAUAGCACAUCAUCCAUGCACUAUUUGUUAAUUGGAUCACUGUUUUUUUACUGUGGUUUAUUGUCCGUCCUCUUUGGAGAUGGUCCAUUUAUGCUAGGUACUGCUGCUGAAAUCUUUGAAAUUGAGAGGCUAGGAUUUGCUCAACUUGCAACACGCAGUGCAUUGUCGGCCAAAAAAUUAUACUUGUCUCUCUGAUUCUUUGGUUCAAAUAAUGGUUUAUGGUGGGUAAAAUAAUUGGUCACCCAACUGGUCCAUACCAAAAUACCUGAAUUUACAUUUUUUUUUCCCCGGAUUGGGGAAAUGAGCAUCCUGGGUUGGGACUGAAUUGGGUUAUUAGUUGAUGUUCUAUUUGAAUUUCUAUUAGCCUUCAAUUCUAUUGCACCCACGUUACCUAUGAAAAGAAUUUUCUACCAUUCCCACCUGAAAUCCUGCCAUUACUUGAUGUCUACUCAAAUAUAUUCUAUAUGUAACAUUUCCCUGCAUAUAACUUUCCUCGCUUUAUAGAAUUUAAAAAGAAAAAAAAAUUAUCAAAACAUUUUUUUCCCCUAUGAACAAGAAAAAAAUUUCUAUCUGACAAAAAAAUGUUAUCCUUCCAUAUUACUGCAAGGCCGCAUGUCACCUUUCCAUGAGUUCGAUAUAAGAGCUCCAAUAAUUAGUGAAUUUAGUUAUUCUGGAGUACCCUCUGAUUCAUGUUUUCCUCCCUUCACAUAGCUAUGAUAUCAAUGUCAUUAAAGGUGCCAAACCCCUGUCAUCAACCAGAGCUUAAGGAGUCUGUCGCCAUUGAUCACCCAAGUCCAAAAGGCAUUUAAUUCAGGGAAGAGGAAAUAGAAGAAGAUGGUGGUCUUCAAAUCCUUAGUUUCUAGAUCUCAUUAAGCAUGUGAAAUCGAUAGAAGCUAAUAAGCUACGGUCCAGCCCCCACGAGAAGGAACCAGGGAAGGUGACUUUUCCAAGGAAGUGAAAUAUGAAGAAAGAAUAGAUCGUGCAAAUCUUGGUAGAGUUUUCCCAGUGGAGGAAUUAGAGGAAGGGGAAAUUCCUGGUGCUGAACAAUUGAAUGCUCAUAUAUUAUUUGGGAUCAUCAAUAUUAUUUAAGAGCAAAGAUAAUUUCAAGUUUAUUUAUUUAUUUA